rnacentral:tRNA from 1 species
CGAGGUAGCUCAACUGGCAGAGCAACGGUUUUGUAAACCGUAGGUUGUGGGUUCGAUUCCCAUCCUCGG